rnacentral:rRNA from 1 species
AAGUCGUACGAACCUCUUCGGAGGUUAGUGGCGCACGGGUGAGUAACACGUAGAUAACGUACCUCGAAGUGGGGGAUAACUGGCCGAAAGGCCUGCUAAUACCGCAUAAGACCACGGGGCUUCGGACCCAGUGGAAAGUGGGCUCCUUCGGGACCUGCCGCUUUGAGAUCGGUCUGCGGCCCAUUAGCUAGUAGGCGGGGUAACGGCCCACCUAGGCGAUGAUGGGUAGCUGGUCUGAGAGGAUGAUCAGCCACACUGGAACUGAGACACGGUCCAGACUCC